AGGGGUGUAGCUCUAACGGCUAGAGCACCGGACUCCAAAUCCGGGGGAUGGGGGUUCGAAUCCCUCCACCCCUGCCA
rnacentral:tRNA from 10 species